GUGGGGGAUAUUGCACAAUGGGGGAAACCCUGAUGCAGCGACGCCGCGUGAAGGAAGACGUACUUCGGUAUGUAAACUUCUAUCAGCAGGGAAGAAGAUGACGGUACCUGACUAAGAAGCCCCGGCUAACUACGUGCCAGCAGCCGCGGUAAUACGUAGGGGGCAAGCGUUAUCCGGAUUUACUGGGUGUAAAGGGAGCGUAGACGGUGAAGCAAGUCUGAUGUGAAAACCCGGGGCUCAACUCCGGGAUUGCAUUGGAAACUGUUUUACUUGAGUGCUGGAGGGGCAAGCGGAAUUCCUGGUGUAGUGGUGAAAUGCGUAGAUAUCAGGAAGAACACCGGUGGCGAAGGCGGCUUGCUGGACAGUAACUGACGUUGAGGCUCGAAAGCGUGGGGAGCAAACAGGAUUAGAAACCCCAGUAGUCC
rnacentral:rRNA from 1 species